rnacentral:rRNA from 1 species
CGGGAGUAACGCGUGGGUAACCGUGCCUCAUACAGGGGAGUAACAGUUAGAAAUGACUGCUAAUACCGCAUAAGCGCACAGUGCUGCAUGGCACAGUGUGAAAAACUCCGGUGGUAUGAGAUGGACCCGCGUCUGAUUAGCUAGUUGGUGGGGUAACGGCCUACCAAGGCGACGAUCAGUAGCCGGCCUGAGAGGGUGACCGGCCACAUUGGGACUGAGACACGGCCCAA